GGAUGAACGCUGGCGGCGUGCCUAAUACAUGCAAGUCGAGCGAAUGGAUUAAGAGCUUGCUCUUAUGAANUUAGCGGCGGACGGGUGAGUAACACGUGGGUAACCUGCCCAUAAGACUGGGAUAACUCCGGGAAACCGGGGCUAAUACCGGAUAACAUUUUGCACCGCAUGGUGCGAAAUUCAAAGGCGGCUUCGGCUGUCACUUAUGGAUGGACCCGCGUCGCAUUAGCUAGUUGGUGAGGUAACGGCUCACCAAGGCAACGAUGCGUAGCCGACCUGAGAGGGUGAUCGGCCACACUGGGACUGAGACACGGCCCAGACUCCUACGGGAGGCAGCAGUAGGGAAUCUUCCGCAAUGGACGAAAGUCUGACGGAGCAACGCCGCGUGAGUGAUGAAGGCUUUCGGGUCGUAAAACUCUGUUGUUAGGGAAGAACAAGUGCUAGUUGAAUAAGCUGGCACCUGACGGUACCUAACC
rnacentral:rRNA from 1 species